UGAGGAAUAUUGCGCAAUGGGGGCAACCCUGACGCAGCAACGCCGCGUGAGUGAGGAGGGUUUUCGGACCGUAAAGCUCUGUCGAGCGGGAAGAAAUGCAUGGUGGCUAAUAUCCAUCAUGCUUGACGGUACCGCUAAAGGAAGCACCGGCUAACUCCGUGCCAGCAGCCGCGGUAAUACGGGGGGUGCGAGCGUUGUUCGGAAUUAUUGGGCGUAAAGAGCGUGUAGGCGGCCGAAUAAGUCAGAUGUGAAAUCCCUGGGCUUAACCCAGGACGUGCAUUCGAAACUAUUCGGCUGGAGUAGGGGAGAGGAAAGUGGAAUUCCUGGUGUAGAGGUGAAAUUCGUAGAUAUCAGGAGGAACACCGGUGGCGAAGGCGACUUUCUGGCCCUAUACUGACGCUGAGACGCGAGAGCGUGGGUAGCAAACAG
rnacentral:rRNA from 1 species